AGUAAGUUAAUACCUUGCUGUUUUGACGUUACCAACAGAAUAAGCACCGGCUAACUUCGUGCCAGCAGCCGCGGUAAUACGAAGGGUGCAAGCGUUAAUCGGAAUUACUGGGCGUAAAGCGCGCGUAGGUGGUUCAGCAAGUUGGAUGUGAAAUCCCCGGGCUCAACCUGGGAACUGCAUCCCAAACUACUGAGCUAGAGUACGGUAGAGGGGGGGUGGAAUUUCCUGUGUAGCGGUGAAAUGCGUAGAUAUUGGAAGGAACACCAGUGGCGAAGGCGACCACCUGGACUGAUACUGACACUGAAGUGCGAAAGCGUGGGGAGCAAACAGGAUUAGAUACCCUGGUAGUCCACGCCGUAAACGAUGUCGACCAGCCCUUUGGGAUCCUUGAGAUCUUAAUGGCGCAACUUAAGCGAUAAGUCGACCGCCUGGGGAGUACGGCCGCAAGGUUAGAACUCAAAUGAAAUUGACGGGGGCCCGCACAAACGGUGGAGCAAGUGGUUUAAUUCGAAGCAACGCCGAAAAACUUACCUGGGCUUGACAUGCUGAGAACUUUCCCAAGAUGGAUUGGUGCCCUCCGGACUCAAA
rnacentral:rRNA from 1 species